rnacentral:tRNA from 1 species
GGUCCUGUGGUCUAGUGGUAUGAUUCUCGCUUAGGGUGCGAGAGGCCCCGCGUUCGAGUCGCGGCAGGACCC